UGCGAGUGAAGCGGGAAAAGCUCAAAUUUAAAAUCUAAUGGUCCUUGGCCAUUCGAGUUGUAAUUUAGAGAAGCGUCUUCCGCGCCAGACCAUGUACAAGUCUCCUGGAACGGAGCGUCAUAGAGGGUGAGAAUCCCGUCUUUGACAUGGACCCUUGGUGCUUCUGUGAUGCGCUCUCAAAGAGUCGAGUUGUUUGGGAAUGCAGCUCAAAAUGGGUGGUGAACUCCAUCUAAGGCUAAAUAUUGGCGAGAGACCGAUAGCGAACAAGUACCGUGAGGGAAAGAUGAAAAGCACUUUGGAAAGAGAGUGAAACAGUACGUGAAAUUGUUGAAAGGGAAACACUUGAAGUCAGUCGCGUCGAUCGAGACUCAGCCUCGCCUUUGGCUUGGCGUACUUCUCGACUUGACGGGCCAGCAUCAAUUUCGUCCCUCGGAUAAUGGCAGGGGAAAGGUGGCACCUUCACGGGUGUGUUAUAGUCUCUUGUCGCAUGCGAGGGGUGGGAUUGAGGAACUCAGCACGCACCUCACGGUGUCGGGGCUUCGGCCCACGUUACGUGCUCACGAUGCCGGCGUAAUGGCUUUAAAUGACCCGUCUUGAAACACGGACCAAGGAGUCUAACAUGCCUGCGAGUGUUCGGGUGGAAAACCCGUGUGCGUAAUGAAAGUAAAAGUUGGGACCUCUGUCGUGAGGGCACCGACGCCCGGACCAGACCUUCUGUGACGGAUCUGCGGUAGAGCAUGCAUGUUGGGACCCGAAGAUGGUGACUAUGCCUGAUAGGUGAGCCAGAGAACUCUGUGAGCUCGUAGCGAUCUGACGUGCAAUCGA
rnacentral:rRNA from 1 species